ACUAGGAACAUGGGGGUAGAGCACUGAAUGAGCUAGGGGGCCUCAAAGCUUACCGAACUCUAUCAAACUCCGAAUACCAUGUGACCGAUACUCGGGAGUCAGACUACGUGAGAUAAGUCUCGUGGUCAAAAGGGAAACAGCCCAGACCAACGACUAAGGUCCCAAAGUGCAGGUUAAGUGGAAAAGGAUGUGCAAUUGCUUAGACAACCAGGAUGUUGGCUUAGAAGCAGCCACUCAUUUAAAGAGUGCGUAAUAGCUCACUGGUCGAGUGAUUGUGCGCCGAAAAUGUACCGGGGCUAAACCUGCCACCGAAGUCUUGGAAUUCAGUUUACUGGAUUGGUAGAGGAGCAUCGUGCAUGGGCUGAAGCAUGACCGGAAGGACAUGUGGACUGUGCACGAGAGAGAAUGCCGGCAUGAGUAGCGAGAGCAGAGUGAGAAUCUCUGCCGUCGAAAGCCUAAGGUUUCCUGAGGAAGGUUCGUCCCCUCAGGGUAAGUCAGGACCUAAGCCGAGGACGAAAGUCGUAGGCGAUGGACAACAGGUUGAUAUUCCUGUACCACCUUAACACGUUAUACGAUGCAGUGACACAGAAGGAUAGGCGGAGCGGGUUGAUGGUAGAACCCGUCCAAGCACUGAGGGUGCAGCGUAGUGAAGUACGCGCUGUGAUAAGCCUGGGGUGUGAUGGGGACAGAAAAUAAGUAUGGAAGUUGCUGAAUUCACGCUGGCGAGAAAAGCUGCUAAGGAGUGUUAUUGGUGCCUGUACCGCAAACCGACACAGGUAGGCGAGGAGAGAAUCCUAAGACGAGCGGGAGAACCCUUGUUAAGGAACUCGGCAAAAUGACCCCGUAACUUCGGGAGAAGGGGUGCCUCGAAAGAGGCCGCAGAGAAUAGGCCCAAGCGACUGUUUAGCAAAAACACAGGUCUGUGCCAAGUCGAGAGACGAUGUAUACAGGCUGACGCCUGCCCAGUGCCGGAAGGUCAAGGGGAAGUGUUAGGGCAACCGAAGCACGGAACUUAAGCCCCGGUGAACGGCGGCCGUAACUAUAACGGUCCUAAGGUAGCGAAAUUCCUUGUCGGGUAAGUUCCGACCCGCACGAAUGGCGUAACGAUUUGGGCACUGUCUCAACAAUGGACCCGGCGAAAUUGUAGUAUGCGUGAAGAUGCGCAUUGCCCGCGAUAGGACGGAAAGACCCCGUAGAGCUUUACUGUAGCUUGGUAUUGGAUUUUGGCAGCGCUUGUACAGGAUAGGUGGGAGGCUAGGAAACGAGGACGCCAGUUUUCGUGGAGCCACCGUUGGGAUACCACUCUUGUGUUGCUGGAGUUCUAACGUCGCGCCGUGAUCCCGGUGACGGACAGUGUCAGGUGGGCAGU
rnacentral:rRNA from 1 species